rnacentral:rRNA from 1 species
UACAGAGGUCUCAAGCGUUGUUCGGAUUCAUUGGGCGUAAAGGGUGCGUAGGCGGUGCGGUAAGUCGGGUGUGAAAUCUCGGAGCUUAACUUCGAAACUGCAUUCGAUACUGCCGUGCUUGAGGACUGGAGAGGAGACUGGAAUUUACGGUGUAGCGGUGAAAUGCGUAGAUAUCGUAAGGAAGACCAGUGGCGAAGGCGGGUCUCUGGACAGUUCCUGACGCUGAGGCACGAAGGUCAGGGGGAGCAAACGGG